rnacentral:rRNA from 1 species
AGACUGCCGGUGAUAAACCGGAGGAAGGUGGGGAUGACGUCAAGUCAUCAUGGCCCUUACGAGUAGGGCUACACACGUGCUACAAUGGCGCAUACAAAGAGAAGCGACCUCGCGAGAGCAAGCGGACCUCAUAAAGUGCGUCGUAGUCCGGAUCGGAGUCUGCAACUCGACUCCGUGAAGUCGGAAUCGCUAGUAAUCGUGGAUCAGAAUGCCACGGUGAAUACGUUCCCGGGCCUUGUACAC